UGUGUACUCCCUCCGUUCCAAAAUACUUGACUUCCAUUUGUCCAAAAAUGGAUGUACCUAUAUACUAAGACAUGUCUAGAUACAUAUAUAUUUUGACAAAUAGAAGGCAUGUAUUGUGUGACGGAGGGAGUAGAAU
rfam:Triticum aestivum genome assembly, contig: Triticum_aestivum_CS42_TGACv1_scaffold_000041_1AL